rnacentral:rRNA from 1 species
UACGUAGGGUGCAAGCGUUGUCCGGAAUUAUUGGGCGUAAAGAGCUCGUAGGCGGUCUGUCGCGUCAGAUGUGAAAACCCAGGGCUCAACCCUGGGCCUGCAUUCGAUACGGGCAGACUAGAGUUCGGUAGGGGAGACUGGAAUUCCUGGUGUAGCGGUGAAAUGCGCAGAUAUCAGGAGGAACACCGGUGGCGAAGGCGGGUCUCUGGGCCGAAACUGACGCUGAGGAGCGAAAGCGUGGGGAGCAAACAGG